UUCUUGAACGGAAAAAAAAUCUAGUCUAAAUUUAUCAAAAGUGUCCAAUUUUAAAUCAUCCUGAAGCGCACAAAUUAAUUCUACAAGAUUUUUCACAGUUUAAAUUCACUGACGAUGAAAUAAAUUACGACGCUGCAGAUGAAUGGUCCGAAUUUUUUGAAAAAGUUCAAACAGUUUGUCCUCUUGAUUCGACAAAAAAAAGAUGCUCGGAUUCGUCAUUUAUUAAACUUGCUCUACACAUGUGAAAUAGAAUAUAACAAAGCAGUAAUUCAACUACGUCUUUUAUCAUUCCUUGUUGCUCUCAAAGGAAGACAACGCAAACCAAAUAAAAAUGAUUGGAAAUACAGUAUGUUAGAGUCAGAAGAAAGUACUGUCCAAUAUGCCGCGGUGACUUAAUAUUAUUAAAUUACAACUAUUGACGAUAUUACUCGGAUUUGCAAGGACUUUAAGACGGCUAUGAGCGCGAAAGGUUUAAACAGAGAUGG